rnacentral:rRNA from 1 species
AACGAACGCUGGCGGCAUGCCUAACACAUGCAAGUCGAACGAGACCUUCGGGUCUUGUGGCGCACGGGUGCGUAACGCGUGGGAACAUGCCCUUAGGUUCGGAAUAACUCCCCGAAAGGGGUGCUAAUACCGGAUAAUGUCUUCGGACCAAAGAUUUAUCGCAUUUGGAUGGGCACGCGUUGGAUUAGCUAGUUGGUAGGGUAAAAGCCUACCAAGGCGACGAUGCAUAGCUUGUCUGAGAGGAUGAUCAGCCACACUGGGACUGAGACGCGGCCCAGAAUCCUACGGGAGGCAGCAGUGGGGAAUAUUGGACAAUGGGCGAAAGGCUGAUCCAGCAAUGCCGCGUGAGUGAUGAAGGCCUUAGGGUUGUAAAGCGCUUUUACCCGGGAUGAUAAUGACAGUACCGGGAGAAUAAGCCCCGGCUAACUCCGUG